GUGGGGAAUAUUGGACAAUGGGCGAAAGCCUGAUCCAGCAAUGCCGCGUGAGUGAUGAAGGCCUUAGGGUUGUAAAGCUCUUUUACCCGGGAAGAUAAUGACUGUACCGGGAGAAUAAGCCCCGGCUAACUCCGUGCCAGCAGCCGCGGUAAUACGGAGGGGGCUAGCGUUGUUCGGAAUUACUGGGCGUAAAGCGCACGUAGGCGGUUUUGUAAGUUAGAGGUGAAAGCCUGGGGCUCAACCCCAGAAUUGCCUUUAAGACUGCAUCACUUGAACGUCGGAGAGGUGAGUGGAAUUCCGAGUGUAGAGGUGAAAUUCGUAGAUAUUCGGAAGAACACCAGUGGCGAAGGCGGCUCACUGGACGACUGUUGACGCUGAGGUGCGAAAGCGUGGGGAGCAAACAGGAUUAGAAACCCUAGUAGUCC
rnacentral:rRNA from 1 species